GCUCCCGGAUGUUAGCGGCGGACGGGUGAGUAACACGUGGGUAACCUGCCUGUAAGACUGGGAUAACUCCGGGAAACCGGAGCUAAUACCGGAUAGUUCCUUGAACCGCAUGGUUCAAGGAUGAAAGACGGUUUCGGCUGUCACUUACAGAUGGACCCGCGGCGCAUUAGCUAGUUGGUGGGGUAAUGGCUCACCAAGGCGACGAUGCGUAGCCGACCUGAGAGGGUGAUCGGCCACACUGGGACUGAGACACGGCCCAGACUCCUACGGGAGGCAGCAGUAGGGAAUCUUCCGCAAUGGACGAAAGUCUGACGGAGCAACGCCGCGUGAGUGAUGAAGGUUUUCGGAUCGUAAAGCUCUGUUGUUAGGGAAGAACAAGUGCGAGAGUAACUGCUCGCACCUUGACGGUACCUAACCAGAAAGCCACGGCUAACUACGUGCCAGCAGCCGCGGUAAUACGUAGGUGGCAAGCGUUGUCCGGAAUUAUUGGGCGUAAAGGGCUCGCAGGCGGUUUCUUAAGUCUGAUGUGAAAGCCCCCGGCUCAACCGGGGAGGGUCAUUGGAAACUGGGAAACUUGAGUGCAGAAGAGGAGAGUGGAAUUCCACGUGUAGCGGUGAAAUGCGUAGAGAUGUGGAGGAACACCAGUGGCGAAGGCGACUCUCUGGUCUGUAACUGACGCUGAGGAGCGAAAGCGUGGGGAGCGAACAGGAUUAGAUACCCUGGUAGUCCACGCCGUAAACGAUGAGUGCU
rnacentral:rRNA from 1 species